rnacentral:rRNA from 1 species
GGACCUGACUGCUAUCGGAUUGAUACUAAGCCAUGCUAGUCUUUGUAGUAAUACAAGGCAUACGGCUCAGUAACGCGUAGUCAACCUACCCUAUGGACGGGGAUAAUCUCGGGAAACUGAGCAUAAUACCCGGUAGACCACUUAUCCUGGAAUGGUUAGUGGUUAAAAUGAUUCGUCGCCAUAGGAUGGGACUGCGGCCUAUCAGCUUGUUGGUGAGGUAAUGGCCCACCAAGGCGAUUACAGGUACGGGCUCUGAGAGGAGAGGCCCGGAGAUGGGUACUGAGACAAGGACCCAGGCCCUAUGGGGCGCAGCAGGCGAGAAAACUUUGCAAUGUGCGAAAGCACGACAAGGUUAAUCCGAGUGAUUUCUGCUAAAGGAAUCUUUUGUUAGUUCUAAAAAUACUAGUGAAUAAGGGGUGGGCAAGUUCUGGUGUCAGCCGCCGCGGUAAAACCAGCACCUCAAGUGGUCAGGAGGAUUAUUGGGCCUAAAGCAUCCGUAGCCUGUUCUAUAAGUUUGCGGUUAAAUCUAUACGCUCAACGUAUAGGCUGCUGUAAAUACUGUAGAACUAGGGAGUGGGAGAGGUAGACGGUACUCGGUAGGAAGGGGUAAAAUCCUUUGAUCUAUCGAUGACCACCUGUGGCGAAGGCGGUCUACCAGAACACGUUCGACGGUGAGGGAUGAAAGCUGGGGGAGCAAACCGGAUUAGAUACCCGGGUAGUCCCAGCUGUAAACGAUGCAGACUCGAUGAUGCAAUGGCAUAGAGCUAUUGCAGUAUCGCAGGGAAGCCGUUAAGCCUGCCGCCUGGGAAGUACGUACGCAAGUAUGAAACUUAAAGGAAUUGGCGGGGGAGCACCACAAGGGGUGAAGCCUGCGGUUC